AGCCCUGGGAUGGCUGAUAUUUACACCCAACAGAAUCGCUGUUCUUUCUGAAACAUGAGGAUGAAGACUCUAUGUGCAUGCCCCCCCCAGUAAACCCCAGAUCAGUUCCUCUCUGAGCAAGUCUGUCUACAUUUGGAGCAGGUACCCACUUCAAAUGAAUCCCCUUACAAAUGAACCUGGAUUUAGGAGAGCCAAUCCAAGCUCUGUGGUCCUGAGAUGUUCAAACAAUGCAAGACUUUGACUCCCAGUGAUAACAGAGCUGUACUGUGGAAGGGGAAAGCUAGGAAGAUCCCCUUUCAGUGGCUGAAUAUCAUUUUAUUCUUAUUGGCAUAAUGCAGAGGGCCCAGCUGAGCUCUGGACACCACAGGACAAAGCAUUGUGCAUUUGAGAAAUGAGAGACAGUGCCUGCUUGAAGACCUGACAGUCUGAAUAGCCAAAGGCAGUUGCCUCGGGCCCAUUGCAGAUUGGGAUCUGAGGCACAGUGAGUGACCAUCCCACAAGAACGUGCAGGGAUCCAGAUGUGGGUCUCCCGUGUCUCAGCUGCCUAUCUGUACUGACCGUGCUCUUGAUUCAUGACAGCCGUUUAGGAGCAGGGGACUGUUUGACUUUGAUCUCCUGGUUCUGAAGCGGGGAAGGAGAAGGGGAUGCAAAUUCCUGUGAAGCCUAACCUGGUCCAUAAAGCUUUGCAUCUGAGCUGUAAAAAUCCUGUGCAACUUUUUUCUGUGUGCUUGCAGGUGUAGCUGUCCACCAGUUCCUACAGCAGCUUCAGCUCUGGAAUAGAAAAUGCCCUUGCUGGGGGAAAUGUUCACACUGAGUGAGGAAUGAAAUGAACCUUUCUUCCAGCCAGGAGAGCUAAGCUCCCUCUGGCUGGUGGCCAGUCCAGUGAUGGACUGCAGGGUGGGGUGGGGAGGCCAGCUCCACUGAUUUGGGCAACUUUACCCCUGUGCAACAGCAGACUUGGUCUUACAGAAGACCUAGGCUCUGUACUGUGCCCCAAGGUGAAUCCCUGCAUGUUUGCGGCAGAUUCGGUGCUACUAGCAUAUGUCAUGCCUCCCAAGGUGUGCAGGGGACCCAUCAAUGGCUAAGGCUAAAACAUGUUGCUUUUUAACUCUCCAACACCUAUUGGAAAAGAAACUUGGUGUGUCUGGCAGCAGGGCAGGGUCUCCUUCCAAAUCCUAGGUGAUGC